rnacentral:rRNA from 1 species
CAGAUGGGAGGCAGCAGGGAGGAAGAGGGGACAAGGGGCGUAAGCCUGAACCAGCCAAGUCGCGUGAGGGAUGAAGGUUCUAUGGAUCGUAAACCUCUUUUAUAAGGGAAUAAAGUGUGGGACGUGUCCUAUUUUGUAUGUACCUUAUGAAUAAGGAUCGGCUAACUCCGUGCCAGCAGCCGCGGUAAUACGGAGGAUCCGAGCGUUAUCCGGAUUUAUUGGGUUUAAAGGGUGCGUAGGGGGCCUUUUAAGUCAGCGGUGAAAGUCUGUGGCUCAACCAUAGAAUUGCCGUUGAAACUGGGGGGCUUGAGUAUGUUUGAGGCAGGCGGAAUGCGUGGUGUAGCGGUGAAAUGCUUAGAUAUCACGCAGAACCCCGAUUGCGAAGGCAGCCUGCCAAGCCAUGACUGACGCUGAUGCACGAAAGCGUGGGGAUCAAACAGGAUUAGAUACCCGAGUAGUC